GAGAAAGUCACUUCGGUGGCGAGUAGAGUGGCGCACGGGUGAGUAACGCGUAGAUGAUCUACCCUUCAGUCUGGGACAACUCUUGGAAACGGGAGCUAAUACCGGAUAAAACCUUCGGGUUGAAAGAUUUAUCGCUGGGGGAUGAGUCUGCGUACCAUUAGCUUGUUGGUGGGGUAAUAGCCUACCAAGGCGACGAUGGUUAGCGGGUCUGAGAGGACGAUCCGCCACACUGGAACUGAGACACGGUCCAGACUCCUACGGGAGGCAGCAGUAGGGAAUAUUGCGCAAUGGGGGCAACCCUGACGCAGUAAUGCCGCGUGAGUGAAGAAGGCCUUCGGGUCGUAAAGCUCUUUUAUGGGGGAAGAUGAUGACGGUACCCCAUGAAUAAGCACCGGCUAACCGUGCCAGCAGCCGCAGUAUACGUAGGUGCGAGCCGUGUCCGGAAUUACUGGGCGUAAAGGGCGUGCAGGCGAUAGCAGCCGGAGGUGAAAGCCCGGGGCUCAACCCCGGAGGGUCUUUCGGAACUGCCAGUCUGAGAGGGUCAGGGGCCAGCGGAAUUCCUGGUGUAGAGGUGAAAUUCGUAGAGAUCAGGAGGAACACCGGCGGCGAAAGCGGCUGGCUGGGACCACUCUGACGCUGAGGCGCGAAAGCGUGGGGAGCAAACAGGAUUAGAUACCUGGUAGUCCACGCCGUAAACGAUGGGCACUAAGCGUCCGACGGGUUCGACCCUGUUGGGUGCUGCAGUUAACGCGUUAAGUGCCCCGCCUGGGGAGUACGGUCGCAGACUAAAACUCAAAGGAAUUGACGGGGGCCCGCACAGCGGUGGACAUGUGGUUUAUUCGACGCACGCGAAGACCUUACUGCUUGACAUCCCCGCCCGACACAGAGAUGGUGUUUCUCAUCCGAGACGGAUAAAAGGUGCUGCAUGGCUGUCGUCAGCUCGAGUAGCGAGAUGUUGGGUUAAGUCCCGCAACGAGCGCAACCCUUGCCCUCAGUUGCCAGCAGUUCGGCUGGGC
rnacentral:rRNA from 1 species